rnacentral:tRNA from 3 species
GUCCGCGUGUUCUAGUGGUCAUGAUUUGGUUCUCACACAGCCGAGGUCCUGGGUUCGAACCCCAGCGUGGACA